AUGAACAUUCAUCACCAACAACAUUUGGACCAUCAAGAGACACUUCUGUGUUCUUCAGGUGUCAGCUGUGAAGAACUCACUGCAGUCCACCAUCAAGAGGACACUUUAGAAGGCAGUACUGCUACUCUGGAGUACAAAUACCACAAAACUGCUGAUGGUGGUGAUUAUUUUUUCUGGUAUCGACAAUAUCCAGGAAAACCACCAGAGUUCCUCCUGAUCAUCUCAGGUUCGAGCAGAACAAGAGCAGCAGAGUCUGUGAAAUCAGACAAAAGGUUCUCAACUAAACUGUCUGAAGAUAAACGUGGUGUGUAUUUGGAGAUCAGCAGUACUGCAGUGACAGACUCUGCUGUGUACUACUGUGCUGUGAGGCCCACAGUGACACAAAACACUCAGUCUGUGGACAAAAACCUCACUCAGUGA